rnacentral:lncRNA from 1 species
AUCAAAAUAACUCAUAUACCAUAAAUCAUCCAAACUUAUCAAACCCCUCAUCAUGAGGGGAUUAUCCUUGCAUCCACAUCAUCCCUAAUCUAACAAUAAAAGGUUUAGCCAAUUUUGAUGAAACUACAACAAGGAAGAAGGGUUACAAUCACCAUCAUUGCUCUAGGUAGAACUUGAUGAUAAAAGUUUCCUUGAUCUUCAUUCCUUGCUUUAGACUCCAAGCACUCCAAUCCAAGCUCAAAUUGAUCUUCAAGCUCGUCUUCUCGGUCUCCCAAAGAGGGGUGGAAGGAGAGAAAAAUGGAAAUAAGAGAAAUGUAAUGAUGUUAAGGAUUAUGCCCCCUCUCUCCUAUAAAAUGAGCUUAAAUAGUGCUACCUUGAGGAUCCAACUCAAUUUGAUCAACUUCCAAACCGGUCCCAAAAUUGUAUUUUUCCCGUCGAACCGUUGACUGACCUCUGACUCGAACCGUUAGCUUCGUCUUUGAAUUCUCUAUCGGACGGAUACCUGUAACCUUCGAGGCAACUCUUAGAAACAAGUCAAAUGGACCUGAAUGGCCCAUUUGAGAGAAAAAGCACGAAAAUCCUUCCUAGCUCAUACAAUCAUAUCAAUUCGAUCGGAAAUCAGUCAAAUCGAGUCAAAGGAAAUCAAGGUGGGUGCAAUUAUCCCGAUAAUAUGGAGUGAUAUCAAACCAUCUCACACUUGAACAUUGUUAACAUUGUUUGUCCUCAAGAAAAUCUGCAACUCAAACAAAGAGGGAGCCAAAACAUGGUGAUCGAAACAACAUGCGUAGCUACUCAAGCGUACUUCACGGUGCCAAAAGUAUCAGUCAUCCACUAAACCACACAAUUAUAUAUGUACAAGACGCUGAAUCUCUUAUAAGAGCACACAACAAACUCACGAAUAUAGAGUUUAUGAUUAGACACCUAAACAAAUGAAUAUGUAAAGGUUUCUCCAAUGCACUUGUGUGUUAUGAUACAAGCUGAAAAAAUGGACAUAUAAAUGAUCUUUGUAGGGUAUUUUUUUUAUCCCGAGGGAGGGAAUACUUUUCAUAUCAAACAUCAAAACUAUCCUCAAAGCCAGCUAAUAAUAUUCAGAGGCCAUGUUCAAAAUUUAAAUUGUGGCCCCGAAAAAAUUCGUUUCAAAAUUUUGAUAAAAUAUAUUAAAAAAAUUAAAUAAUAGAAAUACAUAAAUUCUUCAAACUGCAAAAGAAUAUGGUGGUCAGAGACUUAGAGAGGACUUAAUGAUUUAUGUUUAAUUGGACUUGUGUUUUCUCUUCUUUUGAGAUCCAUGUGGACAAAUGAAUGAAGCAACUAAAAAAAGGUUAAAUCUAUAUCCCCCCGAACAUAUGAUUCUUAAAACCAUUCUCCGCCCAUACGCUGUUGUUAAUACUUAAUCCAAAAUUAGCUACCAAAUGUCAAUUAACUAAUACUAGUACUGCCUAACAAACCCUUUCUUUUAGGGAUUUUAUCUCAAACUUAUCCAUCAGGCUUAUAUGGUGGACAGAUGGAGAGUCGGCUGGUGGUGGACGGUCGUUGCCUUGUCGGCUCUUGCUGAUUCAUGCAAAAGAGAAGCCAAGUAAAUGAGCUAAUAAGACUAUAAGAGAAUAAGAUAUGAUUGAUAUGAUGACAGGACGACAGAAGAGUCAAGACUGAUUGAUGAAUUGAUGAACAUAACUCACCGUGAUGACUGAUCGAGGGAUUAGGAUUCAUGAAGAUUGGAAGAAGAAUAGCUGAUCAGAGAUGAGAAAUCACAGAUGAUUCUAUGAUUGAGAGUGAAGGAACAAAGGAUUUUGAUGUGUUUUAACGGAACGCAAUCAGCUGUUGUGAUUGAUUCAUUAAAGAUUUGAUAGUCGUUUACCUGUGUGACGCCUGGAUACUCGCAAAUGAUAAUUAACAUUGAUUAGGGGAAGUUGAGAAAGAUACGCUGAAUUGAUUCCCAGGAGAGAGAGUCCGGUGGAUUUUUGGGAACUUGGGAAGGUUUGGGGAAGAGGAAGAGAGAAGCAACGCCGCACGCCUGGUCGGUAGGAUAAAAUGGAGCUGAGAUGGAGAGAUGAAGGACGAGUAAACAAGGCCUGGAAACAUAACAUGACAGACAAGAAAGAGAAUAGCAAACAACAAAUGGUCUGAGUCAAGUGAAAAGAAAAAAUCCUAAGGCCACCAAGGAACUGUCUCAACAAGCAUCCAAU